UACGUAGGUGGCAAGCGAUACUCGGAAUCACUAGGCGUAAAGCGCAGGUAGGAGGUUUAGUAAGUCUGUUGUGAAAGCUCCCGGCUUAACUGGGAGAGGUCAACGGAAACUGCUAGGCUAGAGUGCGGUAGAGGUAGCUGGAAUUCCCGGUGUAGCGGUGAAAUGCGUAGAUAUCGGGAGGAAUACCUAUGGCGAAAGCAGGCUACUGGACCGUCACUGACUCUGAUCUGCGAAAGCUAGGGGAGCAAAC
rnacentral:rRNA from 1 species